rnacentral:rRNA from 1 species
UACCAAAGAGUUAAAUUAUAUCUAUUGGUUAAAAGGUGGUUAAAUAUUACAAAGUUUAUAAAUUCUAUUAUAUAUAAGUAAAAUUUGGUUAUAAUUUAAUAUUCUUAAGUAAACUAAAAAAUUGAAUCCGCGAAAUCUUUGGAAUAAACUGGGAUUGGAUACCCCAUUAUUCUUAGAUAUAAACUGUAUAAAGAUACUUUAUUUACCAGAGUAGUAUGAACAAAGUUUUAAACUCAAAGAACUUGGCGGUGCUUUACACCUCUUAGGGGAACCUGUCUCAUAAUCGACAAUCCACGCUAGACCUUACCUUUCUUUGUAAACAAUUUGUAUACCGUUGUCGUCAGGUAACUCUUUAAGAUAUAAAAGUUAGCUAAAAAGAACUUAACUUAUACGUCAAAUCAAGGUGCAAUUUAUAGAAAGGAGAAGAUGGGUUACAAUUAUUAAUUCAUAAUUAUGAAUUAGCCAAAGAAAUUGUCUACGAAAGAGGACUUAAAAGUAAAAUUAUAAAUAUAUAAAUUAUUUGAAUAAGGCCCUGAAGCGCGC